CCAGAGAACUUAGCAGAGAUGCUUUGGUUCCUUCGGGAACUCUGAGACAGGUGCUGCAUGGCUGUCGUCAGCUCGUGUUGUGAAAUGUUGGGUUAAGUCCCGCAACGAGCGCAACCCUUAUCCUUUGUUGCCAGCGGUCCGGCCGGGAAACUCAAAGGAGACUGCCAGUGAUAAACUGGAGGAAGGUGGGGAUGACGUCAAGUCAUCAUGGCCCUUACGAGUAGGGCUACACACGUGCUACAAUGGCGCAUACAAAGAGAAGCGACCUCGCGAGAGCAAGCGGACCUCAUAAAGUGCGUCGUAGUCCGGAUUGGAGUCUGCAACUCGACUCCAUGAAGUCGGAAUCGCUAGUAAUCGUAGAUCAGAAUGCUACGGUGAAUACGUUCCCGGGCCUUGUACACACCGCCCGUCACACCAUGGGAGUGGGUUGCAAAAGAAGUAGGUAGCUUAACCUUCGGGAGGGCGCUUACCACUUUGUGAUUCAUGACUGGGGUGAAGUCGUAACAAGGUAAGCGUAGCGAG
rnacentral:rRNA from 1 species